rnacentral:rRNA from 1 species
UACGUAGGGGGCAAGCGUUGUCCGGAUUUAUUGGGCGUAAAGAGCGUGUAGGCGGCCUGAAAGGUCAGCUGUAAAAACUCGAGGCUCAACCUCGAGACGCCGGUGGAAACCAUCAGGCUAGAGUCCGGAAGAGGAGAGUGGAAUUCCUGGUGUAGCGGUGAAAUGCGCAGAUAUCAGGAAGAACACCCGUGGCUAAGGCGGCUCUCUAGUACGGUACUGACGCUGAGACGCGAAAGCGUGGGGAGCGAACAGG